rnacentral:rRNA from 1 species
AGUGGCGAACGGGUGAGUAAUAUAUCGGAACGUACCCUAGAGUGGGGGAUAACGUAGCGAAAGUUACGCUAAUACCGCAUACGAUCUAAGGAUGAAAGUGGGGGAUCGCAAGACCUCAUGCUCGUGGAGCGGCCGAUAUCUGAUUAGCUAGUUGGUAGGGUAAAAGCUUACCAAGGCAUCGAUCAGUAGCUGGUCUGAGAGGACGACCAGCCACACUGGAACUGAGACACGGUCCAGACUCCUACGGGAGGCAGCAGUGGGAAUUUUGGACAAUGGGCGAAAGCCUGAUCCAGCAAUGCCGCGUGAGUGAAGAAGGCCUUCGGGUUGUAAAGCUCUUUUGUCAGGGAAGAAACGGUGAGAGCUAAUAUCUCUUGCUAAUGACGGUACCUGAAGAAUAAGCACCGGCUAACUACGUGCCAGCAGCCGCGGUAAUACGUAGGGUGCAAGCGUUAAUCGGAAUUACUGGGCGUAAAGCGUGCGCAGGCGGUUUUGUAAGUCUGAUGUGAAAUCCCCGGGCUCAACCUGGGAAUUGCAUUGGAGACUGCAAGGCUAGAAUCUGGCAGAGGGGGGUAGAAUUCCACGUGUAGCAGUGAAAUGCGUAGAUAUGUGGAGGAACACCGAUGGCGAAGGCAGCCCCCUGGGUCAAGAUUGACGCUCAUGCACGAAAGCGUGGGGAGCAAACAGGAUUAGAUACCCUGGUAGUCCACGCCCUAAACGAUGUCUACUAGUUGU